GACAGACACCCCACAAGUGAGUACAAGGAAAGCAAACCUGAAUAUUGGUGGGUUGUAAUAUCAUUGUCCUGGUUGGGAAAUCAGUUUUGCAGGAUAUGGCUGGCCAUUGAGGGAAAGUUGGUUAAAGGGUACACAAGAUGUCUGUUCUGAAUAACUGCAUGGGAUGUACAGUAUUUAAAUCAAUAUUUCAAUGGAAAGAGGACUUUGGGCCAAAGGAGGCAACUUCCUGGAAGGAUUGAACAAAGGCCCAGUGGAUCCUGUCAUCCGUUUAAGUGCCCCUCUCACAGGCACUAGGAAGCAGAAAUGGUGGCAGAUGAGGCGGUCCUCCAUGCCUCCAGUCCCUGGCACUUCCCCUUGCAGAGACAAAUCAUGAGUACAGCCAACUCUGUCCCGUCUUCCUCAUGCAGGUUUUAUUUCUCCCUGACCCUCGAUGCUCAGCAGAGCUCCCCACAACGACCUGUCUCCUUAUUUGCUCUGCUGUGCCUGUUCCACACCCAGCUGAGGCCUAAAGAGUGUGAGGUUUCCUGUGUGCAGUGAGAGCUCCGGACGCUGUGGGAUGGCCUGGCCCAG
rnacentral:lncRNA from 1 species